AAAAUAAUCCUACCCUUUGUGAAUUUUGUUUGUUUGAAUAAUUUUUUUUUUUUAAAAAUUAUUGGAGUCUUUCCCUUUAGAGUUUGCUUUUGAGUUUGUAAAAGAAUUCGAAAACAUCUAAAGGGGAUGGUCAAUAAUUUUUUUUGAAAAAAGACAUUUUUUAAAAAUUAAACUUUUUGUAUUCAUUUGUCUAAAAUUAUUUUUAUAAUAUAAAAACAACUUUUGACAAUGGAUCUCUUGGUUCUCGCAACGAUGAAGAACGCAGCAAAAUGCGAUAAGUAGUGUGAAUUGCAGAAUACGUGAAUCAUCGAAUCUUUGAACGCAUAUUGCACUUUUUUAGUUUACUUAAAAAAGUAUGUCUGUUUGAGUAUCAGUAAAAUAUUCUCAUAAAAAUCAUUGUGUAUUUUUAUGGUUAUGAGUGUUUUACAACGAUACAAGUUGUUUCACUUUAAAUUUUUUUUUUAAUAUUGAAAUUUUUCUAAUUUUAAUAAUUAAAAUUGGAUAAAAUUUUCCCGUCAAAAGGAAUAACCUAAACAAUUUUAAAUGAUUAAUUUUAGCAAAAUUUUCGAUAAAAAAGGAAAAUUUUUAUUAAAAUAACUUGAUCUCAAAUCAGAUAAGAGUACCCGCUGAACUUAAGCAUAUCAAUAAGCGGAGGAAAAAGAAACUAACAAGGAUUCCCUUAGUAACGGCGAGUGAAGCGGGAAGAGCUCAAAUUUGAAAUCUUCAAGGUUUUACCUUGACGAAUUGUAGUUUAAAGAAGUGUUUUCUGCUGAAGUUUUGGUAAAAGUUCUUUGGAAUAGGACAUCAUAGAGGGUGAGAAUCCCGUAUUUGACCAUUAUUUUCAGCUUUGUGAUACACUUUCAAAGAGUCGGAUUGUUGGGAAUGCAGUCCAAAAUGGGUGGUAAAUUUCAUCUAAAGCUAAAUAUUGGCGAGAGACCGAUAGUGAACAAGUACCGUGAGGGAAAGAUGAAAAGAACUUUGAAAAGAGAGUUAAACAGUACGUGAAAUUGUCAAAAGGGAAGCGUUUGACACCAGUGUUGUUUUCUCGAAAUCAAUUAAAAAUGGCCUCGAUUUUGUAUUGCUGAGACCUUAAAAGCUCACUGUACAUUUUUCGUGUCUUUUUUAAUGCACUUUUCGUUUAACAAGUCAACAUCAGUUUCUUUUGUUGUAAAAGGGUCAUUGGAAGGUGGCUUUCUUUUCGGAGAAAGUGUUUAUAGCCUUUGGCCUCUGCAAUCGAAGAGACUGAGGUCUGCAGCGUAGACUCUUCGGGGUUAGAUACAUUUGUGCUAAGUUAUAGCUUUUUAUAGACAACUUGUUGACUAUAAUUAGUCUUGUAGCUUACUCGCUUAUGCUAUUUUACCUACGCUAGGAUG
rnacentral:misc_RNA from 1 species